rnacentral:rRNA from 1 species
GACGAACGCUGGCGGCGCGCUUAACACAUGCAAGUCGAGCGAAGCGGCGGACGGGUGAGUAACACGUGAGUAACCUGCCUUAGACAUUGGGAUAGCCUCGGGAAACCGGGAUUAAUACCAAAUGGUCUAAGAUGGACUCGCGUCCCAUAAGCUAGUUGGUGAGGUAACGGCCCACCAAGGCGACGAGGGGUAGCCGGCCUGAGAGGGUGAACGGCCACAUCGGAACUGAGAAACGGGGCAAAAUCGACGGGAGGGAGCAGUGGGGAAUAUUGCACAAUGGAGGGAACGCUGAUGCAGCGACGCCGCGGGAACGAUGAAGGCUUUCGAGUAGUAAAUUUCUUUUAUAUGGGAAGCGGUACCAGAAGAAAAAGCCCCGGCUAACUACGUGCCAGCAGCCGCGGUAAUAC